rnacentral:rRNA from 1 species
AGAGUUUGAUCCUGGCUCAGGACGAACGCUGGCGGCGUGCCUAACACAUGCAAGUCGAGCGGGGAACUUCGGUUCUCAGCGGCGGACGGGUGAGUAACACGUGGGUAACCUGCCUUGUAGAGGGGGAUAGCCUUCCGAAAGGAAGAUUAAUACCGCAUAACAUUAUGCUUUCGCAUGAGAGUAUAAUCAAAGGAGCAAUCCGCUACAAGAUGGACCCGCGGCGCAUUAGCUAGUUGGUGAGGUAACGGCUCACCAAGGCGACGAUGCGUAGCCGGCCUGAGAGGGUGAACGGCCACAUUGGAACUGAGACACGGUCCAGACUCCUACGGGAGGCAGCAGUGGGGAAUAUUGCACAAUGGGCGAAAGCCUGAUGCAGCAACGCCGCGUGAGUGAUGAAGGCCUUCGGGUUGUAAAGCUCUGUCUUCUGGGACGAUAAUGACGGUACCAGAGGAGGAAGCCACGGCUAACUACGUGCCAGCAGCCGCGGUAAUACGUAGGUGGCAAGCGUUGUCCGGAUUUACUGGGCGUAAAGGAUGCGUAGGCGGAUGCUUAAGUCAGAUGUGAAAAUCCCGAGCUUAACUUGGGAACUGCAUUUGAAACUGGGUAUCUAGAGUGCGGGAGAGGAGAGUGGAAUUCCUAGUGUAGCGGUGAAAUGCGUAGAGAUUAGGAAGAACACCAGUGGCGAAGGCGACUCUCUGGACCGUAACUGACGCUGAGGCAUGAAAGCGUGGGGAGCAAACAGGAUUAGAUACCCUGGUAGUCCACGCCGUAAACCAUGAAUACUAUGUGUGGGAGUUGUCAUGACUUCCGUGCCGCAGUUAACACAAUAAGUAUUCCGCCUGGGGAGUACGGUCGCAAGAUUAAAACUCAAAGGAAUUGACG